UCACGUCGAUUCUAUUGAUCUGUGCCUAUCUUUCUCAGUAUUUGUACCGAUAAGAAUUAAACCUCAAGCAACAUUACUGACGCACUCAUGCCGGGACCAAGAAUCCAAUAUUAACGUGUUUCGUUUAUAAGGAAAUGUCAAGAAGAAGUGGACACAGAAUGCACAAACAGACCGUACUUCAGCACAAAGCUGGUGCUGUGAAAGAGGGCUGCUCCAGCAGGAGGUCUCCUUGUCCGUGUCUUGUAAAGAAAGCUGCCCAUGAAAUGAGGUCCGUGGCGGCCUACCUGUUCGCUGCAACGUACCACAGUGGUUUACACACAGGAUGAAGUGGAAACUGCUGCUGUACAUCUCUCUGAGUGGUUUCUUUCGCCAAACAUAUCGUUUUCCUUGGCUUCAUAAAACACGCAGCAGAACAUGGGGAGCCGGCCUGAAAAGUGUCCUUUCAGGAUGUAUAAUGCCAUGCUCUAUCCUGCCCCGUGUUACAAAUAUAAGCAUCACUUUGUUUCGUCUUGAAGUUUUGACUCCUUUGAGAGCCCCGCUCCCAGGUUUUUCCCUCGACGUACUGUAGGGAUUCUCAGCUAGGCUGGUGUCUUGUCGCUGUCGUUGGCUCUUUCAGUUGAGGUUUUCUACAGCAGCGCCCCUGUCUCCGGGCUGUGCUGUUGAGAGUCUCAA